rnacentral:rRNA from 1 species
UACGGGGGGGGCAAGCGUUGUUCGGAAUUACUGGGCGUAAAGGGCGCGUAGGGGGCCAACUAAGUCAGACGUGAAAUCCCUCGGCUUAACCGGGGAACUGCGUCUGAUACUGGAUGGCUUGAGUUUGGGAGAGGGACGCGGAAUUCCAGGUGUAGCGGUGAAAUGCGUAGAUAUCUGGAGGAACACCGGUGGCGAAGGCGGCGUCCUGGACCAACACUGACACUGAGGAGCGAAAGCCAGGGGAGCAAACGGG